rnacentral:rRNA from 1 species
GAGUUUGAUCCUGGCUCANAACGAACGCUGGCGGCAGGCUUAACACAUGCAAGUCGAGCGCGUAGCAAUACGAGCGGCAGACGGGUGAGUAACGCGUGGGAAUCUACCCGGAACUACGGAAUAACAUGAAGAAAUUUAUGCUAAUACCGUAUACGCCCUUUUGGGGAAAGAUUUAUUGGUUUCGGAUGAGCCCGCGUUGGAUUAGCUUGUUGGUAGGGUAAUGGCCUACCAAGGCGACGAUCCAUAGCUGGUCUGAGAGGAUGAUCAGCCACACUGGGACUGAGACACGGCCCAGACUCCUACGGGAGGCAGCAGUGGGGAAUAUUGGACAAUGGGCGCAAGCCUGAUCCAGCCAUGCCGCGUGAGUGAUGAAGGCCUUAGGGUUGUAAAGCUCUUUCACCGGUGAAGAUAAUGACNGU